rnacentral:rRNA from 1 species
GACGAACGCUGGCGGCGUGCUUAACACAUGCAAGUCGAACGGAAAGGCCCCUUCGGGGGUACUCGAGUGGCGAACGGGUGAGUAACACGUGGGUGAUCUGCCCUGCACUUCGGGAUAAGCCUGGGAAACUGGGUCUAAUACCGGAUAGGACCACGGGAUGCAUGUCCUGUGGUGGAAAGCUUUUGCGGUGUGGGAUGGGCCCGCGGCCUAUCAGCUUGUUGGUGGGGUGACGGCCUACCAAGGCGACGACGGGUAGCCGGCCUGAGAGGGUGUCCGGCCACACUGGGACUGAGAUACGGCCCAGACUCCUACGGGAGGCAGCAGUGGGGAAUAUUGCACAAUGGGCGCAAGCCUGAUGCAGCGACGCCGCGUGGGGGAUGACGGCCUUCGGGUCGUAAACCUCUUUCAGCAGGGACGAAGCGCAAGUGACGGUACCUGCAGAAGAAGCACCGGCCAACUACGUGCCAGCAGCCGCGGUAAUACGUAGGGUGCGAGCGUUGUCCGGAAUUACUGGGCGUAAAGAGCUCGUAGGUGGUUUGUCGCGUUGUUCGUGAAAACCGGGGGCUUAACCCUCGGCGUGCGGGCGAUACGGGCAGACUGGAGUACUGCAGGGGAGACUGGAAUUCCUGGUGUAGCGGUGGAAUGCGCGGAUAUCAGGAGGAACACCGGUGGCGAAGGCGGGUCUCUGGGCAGUAACUGACGCUGAGGAGCGAAAGCGUGGGGAGCGAACAGGAUUAGAUACCCUGGUAGUCCACGCCGUAAACGGUGGGUACUAGGUGUGGGUUUCCUUCCUUGGGAUCCGUGCCGUAGCUAACGCAUUAAGUACCCCGCCUGGGGAGUACGGCCGCAAGGCUAAAACUCAAAGGAAUUGACGGGGGCCCGCACAAGCGGCGGAGCAUGUGGAUUAAUUCGAUGCAACGCGAAGAACCUUACCUGGGUUUGACAUGCACAGGACGCCGGCAGAGAUGUCGGUUCCCUUGUGGCCUGUGUGCAGGUGGUGCAUGGCUGUCGUCAGCUCGUGUCGUGAGAUGUUGGGUUAAGUCCCGCAACGAGCGCAACCCUUGUCUCAUGUUGCCAGCGGGUAAUGCCGGGGACUCGUGAGAGACUGCCGGGGUCAACUCGGAGGAAGGUGGGGAUGACGUCAAGUCAUCAUGCCCCUUAUGUCCAGGGCUUCACACAUGCUACAAUGGCCGAUACAAAGGGCUGCGAUGCCGCGAGGCUUAGCGAAUCCUUUUAAAGCCGGUCUCAGUUCGGAUCGGGGUCUGCAACUCGACCCCGUGAAGUCGGAGUCGCUAGUAAUCGCAGAUCAGCAACGCUGCGGUGAAUACGUUCCCGGGCCU